rnacentral:siRNA from 1 species
CGGAAGGAUCAUUGUCGAUACC